GUGUGGGACGUGUCCUGUUUUGUAUGUACCUUAUGAAUAAGGAUCGGCUAACUCCGUGCCAGCAGCCGCGGUAAUACGGAGGAUCCGAGCGUUAUCCGGAUUUAUUGGGUUUAAAGGGUGCGUAGGCGGCCUUUUAAGUCAGCGGUGAAAGUCUGUGGCUCAACCAUAGAAUUGCCGUUGAAACUGGGAGGCUUGAGUAUGUUUGAGGCAGGCGGAAUGCGUGGUGUAGCGGUGAAAUGCUUAGAUAUCACGCAGAACCCCGAUUGCGAAGGCAGCCUGCCAAGCCAUGACUGACGCUGAUGCACGAAAGCGUGGGGAUCAAACAGGAUUAGAUACCCUGGUAGUCCACGCAGUAAACGAUGAUCACUAGCUGUUUGCGAUACAGUGUAA
rnacentral:rRNA from 1 species